rnacentral:lncRNA from 12 species
UUCAAUUGUAAGUUCCUUUUGUGAUUAUUGAGAUGCAUAUGAUUUAAUCGUCAUUUUCCUUUAUCCUUCCUUCCACGGGCUGUUUUCCUUUAAUUUGAUAAAGUUCAACUUUCCAUAGCGGUGUGUGCAAAGAGCAGUGAGUUAGAGUGACACUAAGAAGAAAGGAAAAACAGCAACUUUCUAAAUAUAAGGAAAGGCAAAUAAACAGAAGAGUUUUUCAUUGGCAUUUCAUUGUUCUCAGAAUACGUGUCUCUCCCACUGGUGAAAGAGGAGGAGCUUAGAUAUGUUAUGGUUUUCAUAGUUUGUACAACAUCUACCAAUUUGGUGACAUUCUAUAGCAUAAGUAUUUAAUACAAUUGCUGAUUAGUGAACUUUGUGAUUAAAACUCCUCUGAGUUAAUUCAAGUUUUCAUUUUCUUUCUAGAAUCAAAAGUUUUUGGUGUAAGAAGGGAAUGUAGUCAUCAUUGAGUCCCACCCUCCUUUUACUGACAGGCCACCUAGGUGUAGCAAGACAAAAUAAUUUGCUUAACAUUAUGUGUAAAACCUGUGCAGAAAUCCGGCUGAGUGCUCACUUCCUCCAACUUCCAGUCCAGAGCUUUUUCACUGUGCUCUGCUGCCUCCUGGAGUCUAGGAUGUCUGGCUGGGCACACAGGCCAAAAUUUGGUGAGGAAGGUAAAUUUACUUACCAUGGGAAUUUAUUUCAGGAUGUUCCAACCAGAAUAGUUUCCUCAUGAAGACUUGUGCUCAUGACAGACUGAAAUGGAUCAUGGAAAAACAACAAUUGUGUUAAUAGAGAAAAUCAGUCCGAUAAUUUAGCACACUCAAACCCUUCUACUUUCUUCAUAAGAGUGCUAUUUUUUCUCAUGAAAGGUAAGACCUGACUAAUGGCAUGUUUUUUUAUUUGAAAGACAAUUAUGAAAUGCUAAAGUUGAGUGCACUUGUUCUGAAGUAUCAAUUGAACUAAUUAAAUCAAGGAUGAACUUGGUAAUGUGAACAUUGUUGUAACAUUUCUUCUAUCCACUUAUCCUCAUAAUAUGUUAUUUAGUUCAUCUUAUUUUUUGUUGAUUGUCACUUUGAUCUAGCAAAGACCAAUGAAAUGAAUAAUUGUUUGACAAAGAUAAUGUUAACCUGAGAACAAAGAUUAUAUUCUUAAUUCUGAGAUUUAUUAGAAGCAUGAGCAGAACUUGUCUGAGAGCCUCAUUUUUAAAUAUUUUACACUACAGAUGAAGGUAAUAGGGAUAAGACCUCAAACACAAAACAAUUAUACUUUAUGUGACUUAAGGAUUGGGAAAUUAGAAAUAUUUCCCCCAAAUUACUUUUUCUUUAAAAAAAUGUAGGGAAACAUCAUAUAAAUACUGGA